GGGUGGGCAGGGCAGGGGAGUUUGGUUGCGUGCUCGCUUUUGCUUUGGGAGAGGUCCUAGGGCGCUUCGCUUGAGGGGGGAGAAGGGAGAGGGCGGCGCGGGGGUUUUAGGCUAGCCGCCGGUGGGGCGGCCGCCGCGGGUUAGGAUCGCCGGUCCCCAACUAAGCUCGGACGGGGCGCUCCUUAGGCUCCCUAAGCUCCGCCUAAAGGAGGCCCCAUCCUUCCUACUACUACCCCAAGUACUACCCCUUCUCCUUCCUCGACCUCGUCCACCAGCUGCCGGAGACGCUGAAGAGGGAGAGGCCGGGGCGGCGGUUCACGGCGGCCGACCUGGGACCAGAGGGUGGAUAAAACCUUCUUCUUGGUGGCACAGGAAGGUAGGGUAUAGUUGUAGUCUACGAUCCUCUCCUUUAGUCGUCACCACGAUUGUACGGGUAACACCUUCUAUACUAUCUUCAACGGUACGGUAGAGUAGACAGAUCGCUCCUGUUCUGUGAACAAUAUAUGUUCGGUCAUUUGUUCGGAUGGGAGAAACCAGAGUCAUAGCGUUUGGGAAGUUAGUAUCAGUCAAGUCUGAACUAUGCACCUAAUUUCUUAGUUGGAAAGUUAGUCCCCUUGACAGUACCCGACCUCCUGUUAAGAGGACUCGCGUCGUUAACGAACCGGAAUCAAGGAACCAGCGGUGUCGCCUAACGGUACUGUAGACUAACCAGGCGUAGGGGUGGUCUUUCGUGUGUUUUACAACUUCUCGGUUACCUGCGACUACUCUGUCUUCAAUAAAGAUACCUGAAACUCCUUCGCGGAGUUCGUUGAGGCUCCCCUUAGCUGCACCUAUUGUAAGUGGUCACCGUGGUCGUGACGUACUUGGGCGGUAGCGACGGUUUGGGCAGUCGCGGUCAGUACACCAGCACCACUGUUUAGACCUCUACAGCCGGGGGAAUUGGCGUCCAAUGAAUGUGUGCUUCCUACUUCUUUAAGGAUAUCGACCGGAGGUGGCCUUCACAUACAGAUGAAAACUACCUAACUCUUUACUAACGAUACACGUAUUAUCAGGGAGAAAUCGUAUCAAGACUAGAAGUAGUCAUUGCAGUUAUCUGAAGACACAAUCUUUGCAGGGAAAAUGUCGAUGUACUGAUGUAGCAACCUGAACACACAAUCUUUGUCGGGACAAUGGCCGAAUGACAACCGCGGGGGUUAAAUUAAACUAGACCAUAACAACAACGUUGUACAACCACGGGAAACGUCGAUAAGAACGUUUUGAAUCGAACGUAACACCAACUCUGGUGCCUCAUACCGGUACAGAACUACUACAAUCUGUUCAAUUAGAUAUAUACCCUGUUACUUCCCCGAGUUGAACAUACAUGAGGGAGACAGUUAUUUACGUUCUGUCACUAGAUUUUGCAGAAUAUGACAAAUAAAUGUCUCCGUCAUGUAAAGUAGUUCGAACGUAACUUUACGUGAACACGCAUUUAUACUCGUUGUACCAAUUUAACUGCAGGCGACUGUACACCUCCACGGAGACGUGUUAGACUAAGGCAUCGGUAGCCUACUCGGCAGUGUGCCUCGCGGUCGCGUUCGGGAAGAGACGUGCGAAGGUCGAGACGGACCUUAACGUUGAAUGCCAUUCGUCCCUUGUACUAACGUGUUCACAGUAAGAACAUGAUGGCCGACACGGUAGUCAGAGGAGCAUACUUGGUGUAGGUUGAAGCGAGUGGGAUGUAGUCUCCAAAACAACUGGUGUCAAUUUUGUACAUCCCACAUAAACUAUCGAACGUAGCAAAGGGGGGAACGUAUACAUAGAGUAGACCC
rnacentral:rRNA from 1 species